UAGAUGUAAAAAACCUCUAUUUCAUCCUUACAGCUCGCCUUGUCCGUACCAGUGUGAAUUAGGGUUGCAAAAAUCAA
rnacentral:sRNA from 1 species